ACUAGGGAUGAUUUAGGUUUCAACGCGAAAGUCGUUUCAUUAUUGUCAAGUAGCUCUGUGAAGUAGGUAGUUUUUUUUGGCCAAUUUUUGUGUUCUUAUAGUGCACUAAAUCGAGUACUUGUGUUAAUGUGCGUUUCAGUUUAUAACCUGUUACAGUUAAAUUAUUGAAACGAUGGCAGAUAAUAGACAACAAGAAAAUGAUCAAGCUUUACUUUCUUCAAAAAUUGAGAAUUUGCAGGCUGCAAUAGCUCAUUUAAAACUGAUUAUGUCUCAUGAAGACGCCAUAUUAACAAAAUUAGAGCGAGAUUACGAAGAACGACGGGCUCAGAUUCGUACGCUAGAAAACAGAUUUGCAAGAUUGGAGGAGAAAUAUUACCCGAUGCUUUGAAAACCAAAAGCGCAAAAUAUUCGCAAAAACAAAAAGAAGGCGCAUUGAAUGUUAUUUAAGUUGCACAAAAAGAUUACACAAAAGAAUGGAUCAUACUUAGCUAUCCAACAAGAAUUCGUCGCUGGAAGAUUGUGUAUUGUGUAUGCGUUGAUGCGUUUCAAUUCUCAAUUUUGAUUUUCUACUUGGUAUUUGAAAAUGAAAUCUGCAUUUCUACAGUGUUUAACGUACCUACCUAAUAGGUAUUUUUUAAAAAGAAUUUUUCGAGAACUUACACCAUAUUUGAAUAAUGUUAUUGCAUUUUUUUUUAAAUUCUUGUUUUCGAAAUUGAUCGUUAAUGAAUACCUGUUUGAACCAUUUCAUUAUCAAGUAUAAUUUUAAGGAUAAUUUAAUUGUACCGAAUAUAAUAUUUAUUCCUAAAUUGUACAAAUAAAUGGACAUUUUUAUUGAAAA